AAAGCCAAACUAAACCAAAAAUCUGAAACGCAAUUUUACUAUUUGGUUUCCGUUUCUACAAACCCCAGAUUAUCAUAAUCAGAUGAAACAUAACCACAUAUAGUCUAGUCAUAAGCGACAAACACCCGAUCCCCUUGGAGAACUGUUCCAAAGAACCUGAGCAUCAAUAAUAGAGAGAUGCUCAUCAUCAAGUCUCUUCCAUGUCCUGAUCGAUUUUACAUCUCCCCAGCUUCCUGUACCCUUCUUGUUCAAAUCAGCAACCACAACUCUCGUCCUCCUCUCCCACCCAGCUUUACCAUACGCAUGGUAUCCAAACCCACCACCAUAGCAUAGAUUCACACCUUUGAGUUCACCGCAAAAGUCGUUGACAUGGUCAUGACCCACAAACACUGAUUUUACAUCACCUCUAGCUACCAAUGUUGUGAAGAACCCUGAGUUUGUGGUAGCCGAGCCUGUAGCUUCUUGUCUCACUCCUUUUGUGGCGCUCUUUGUGUCGAAGUUAUCAAACUCCGGUAAUGGAAUGUGGAAGUAAGCUAGUCCUGGAGCUGUACCUUGUUGAGGAUUAGGCUCUUCAUUGUAUUCCCUCUGUGAUCAUCAUCAAUAUUAAUGACCAUAACUAUCUAGCUCUUCAUCUCCUUCUUUCUCAAUCUCAACGUACAAAUCCUUUAAGCCUUCUUGACAUUAUAUUGAAACCUCUUCAUCUUCCCUCCCUCUCUCCAUCCUCACUACAUAGGCGAUGGCUACACUCAAAAUCCAAAGUUUCUUCACAGACGAUGACAAUAAUUCUAGCCAUAGCGUCCAAUCUUGGUUAGUUGUCGCUUCUCCAUUGUAGGUAACUUAAUAAUAGCUUUUCUAUUCAGUAGUUUUUUUUUUGAUUCAAUAGUUUCCAAAUUAAAUGGGGCUGAUCUACUUGGCUAGAGGGUGAGGCAUGUGCCCCAUACCAAUCUUGUAUUUUUUUUUUGUUUAACAUCAUUUUGUGCAUGUAAAUGAGUAAAUCUAGCAUGUUUGGUCAAAAUCGAUUAACGGUGCCACACACAUCACAUUUGGACAUACUUUUCUCCCAUCUUUUGUUUUGUUUUUUAGUGUCAAAUUUAAUACAUCUACUUACUCUUUGUUCUCAUAUUUUAACUUAUAUAUCAUUUAUUGUUCUAUUAAAUUUGUUAUAUCCGUCUAAUUUGUUCAGUUUUGCUGUGUAAAUAUCAAUCUUGAAUUUCAAAUUUCUUAUUUUAUAUCCCUUUGUUUGUAAAAGUUAAUAUUUUCUACUUGAUGCAUAUUAAAAAUAUAUUAAAAUUUAAUAAUAAACAUAUUAUCUUGUGAUUAACUAAUAGUAGUUCAAUACUUUUUUUCUUCAGAUUUUACAAUUUAUCACUAUUUUUCUGUCGACAUAAACAUUUAAUAAACAUGUAAAAUAUAAUUAGUUAAAAUUUUGAAAAUGUAAAAUAUAUAUCUUAAAAAUAUAUUUUAAACAUUAUCUAACGGAAAUAUAAUUUAGUUAGUAAAAUAUUUAUUGAAAACAUAUUAUUAUUUGAAAAUAAUAUAAUAAAACUGAAAAAAAUAUUUAAAUAAAUUAUAUAUAUACACUGUGCCCCAUACCAAAUAUUUUUCUAGAUCCGCCCCUGAAUCUAACCACCACUUGCGCUUCUGUUUAUAUCUGAAAUUGCUUAGAACCCUUAGGGCGAUGUAUUCAAUUUAGCAUUUCAUGUGAUUUGAUUUUUAAUAGAGUUUUAGAUGAUUUUAAUAAGUUGCAGAGAUUUAGGUGAUUUUUGUUAAACUACUCUAGAAUAUCACCUAAAACAAUGUGAUUUGAGUUUUAUUUUUUUAACUAAGAAACUCCACCCAAACACCCUAAGGGGGUGUUAUUGGUUUAUGUAUUUUAAUGGAUUUGAAAAUACAAGUUAAAUCUAGUGUUAUUGGUUAUGUGAUUUUAGAAUCUAUAUUCAAAUUCAUUGUUAUUGGUUCUAUGAUUUUAAAAUCUAUAUUCAAAUCCACUAUUAUUGGUUUUAUGAUUUCAAAAAUAGAUUUUAAAAUCAGAUGUUAUUCAAUAAUAAUGAUUUGUAUAAGGAUUUGAUUUUAAAAUUGGAUUUGGAUGGUUUCAUUAGUGAUUUUAAAGUUAAAAAUACAAAGGAGCAAAUAUUGAGUUGACCUUUGAUAUUUUGAUGGAUAUGUAUUAUUGGUUUUCCACUCACAAAGCACUCACACUUUUGAAAGUUUUCUUCUUUUUUUUUUUUGAAAAUUUCCAAUAGUCCAAUUUCUAUAUUUUCUUGACGUAAGUUUUCUUCUUUUUUUUUGAAAAUUUCCAAUAGUCCAAUUCCUAACGUAAGUAUAUAUAAUCUCUCUAUUAUACGUUAGACAACCAACACAAUUAAAAAAACACUUUAAAACCCUAAAGAGCAUCAAUGGAAGAAUCACAACAAGAAAGUGAAAAAAGUUCUUAUGUUCAAUGGAAUCCUCAAGAAAACAGAACUUUGAUAAAUCUACUUUUAGAUUGUGUUGCUGCAGGUUUACUUGAUAGAAAUGGUCUAUUCAGCAAAUUCACAGUAGAGAGAAGAAUCCUAUCUAUUCUCAAUCGAAUGCAUGGGAGCUCCAAAGUUACAAAUAUGUGGACAGAUUUUAUGUUAUCAUGAUAUACAAAAUGCUUUUACACAUAUUAUAGUUUUUAUAUUUAUUUUAUUAUUAAAACUGAAGUUACUGCAAAUCCAUUUGACAGAUUUAUGAUAAUCCAGUUAUUUUGA